rnacentral:rRNA from 1 species
GACGAACGCUGGCGGCGUGCUUAACACAUGCAAGUCGAACGGAAAGGCCCUGCUUUUGUGGGGUGCUCGAGUGGCGAACGGGUGAGUAACACGUGAGUAACCUGCCCUUGACUUUGGGAUAACUUCAGGAAACUGGGGCUAAUACCGGAUAGGAGCUCCUGCUGCAUGGUGGGGGUUGGAAAGUUUCGGCGGUUGGGGAUGGACUCGCGGCUUAUCAGCUUGUUGGUGGGGUAGUGGCUUACCAAGGCUUUGGCGGGUAGGCGGCCUGAGAGGGUGAACGGCCACAUUGGGACUGAGAUACGGCCCAGACUGCUACAGGAGGCAGCAGUGGGAAAUAUUGCACAAUGGGCGGAAGCCUGAUGCAGCAACGCCGCGUGCGGGAUGACGGCCUUCGGGUUGUAAACCGCUUUCGCCUGUGACGAAGCGUGAGUGACGGUAAUGGGUAAAGAAGCACCGGCUAACUACGUG